GAGUUUGAUCAUGGCUCAGAACGAACGCUGGCGGCGUGGAUUAGGCAUGCAAGUCGAACGUGAAAGCCGACGUAGCAAUACGAAGGCAAGUAAAGUGGCGAACGGGUGAGUAACGCGUGGGAAACCUGCUCCAGAGUGGGGGAUAACAGUUCUAACGGACUGCUAAUACCGCAUGAUGCUACGGGUCGAUGACUUCGUAGUUGAAGGAGGCCUCUGUUUCAAGCUUUCGCUCCGGAAUGGUCCCGCGUCCUAUUAGCUUGUUGGUGGGGUAACGGCCUACCAAGGCUACGAUGGGUAGCCGGCCUGAGAGGGUGGUCGGCCACACUGGGACUGAGACACGGCCCAGACUCCUACGGGAGGCAGCAGUGGGGAAUCUUGCGCAAUGGGCGAAAGCCUGACGCAGCGACGCCGCGUGGGGAAGAAGGCCUUAGGGUGUAACCUCUUUCAGGUGGGACGAAGCCACUCGGGUAAUAGCCCAGAGGGUGACGGUACCGCCAGAAGAAGCCCCGGCUAACUACGUGCCAGCCGCCGC
rnacentral:rRNA from 1 species